UACGGGGGGGGCAAGCGUUGUUCGGAAUCAUUGGGCGUAAAGCGCACGUAGGCGGCCUAUUAAGUCGGAUGUGAAAUCCCUCGGCUCAACCGAGGACGUGCAUACGAAACUGGUAGGCUCGAGUAUGGAAGAGGGUCGCGGAAUUCCCGGUGUAGAGGUGAAAUUCGUAGAUAUCGGGAGGAACACCAGUGGCGAAGGCGGCGACCUGGGCCAAUACUGACGCUGAGGUGCGAAAGCGUGGGGAGCAAACAGG
rnacentral:rRNA from 1 species